UCCCGUGUCGGGUUGCGUCACCGCCGGAGCAGCAGCGCAAAGCAAGGCGCCGAUUUUUGCUCCCCCGCUCGCCGCCGGUGGCUGCUCCCCCCGAAGCUCCAAACUCCCUUCACCAAUGCCGGCGCUGCCCGCCUCGGCGCCGUUCAGCUCGUGGCGCCGGAACGCCAGCCCCUCGGCGGCGGCGGCGUUCUCCUCGACCCCCAAAUCCCUCCUGCUGCUCCUCCUGGUCCUGCUGCUCCUCCUCUUCGCGCUCUCCAGAGCCCCGGAUCUCGCCUUCUCCAGCACCUCCACCGCCGCUAUCGCGGCCGCCCACUCCUCAUCCCGCCACCUCCGCCCCUUCGACUGCUACGCCUCGCCGCAGGCCUCCCCGGUCGUCGCGAACCUCGUGGAGGGCGUGCCCCGCCCCUUCUUCUACUCGCUCGCCGACAUGGGAGCCCUCCCCGACCGCCCCCACAAGAACAUCGUGCGACUCCUCAAGGGCAAGCGGUUCCGCAAGCCCGACAUCUCCGAGACCAUCCAGGGGCUGCUCGGCGGGGAGGCGGGGAGGGGCGGGCCGUCUGGCGGGGUGGUGGUGGACGUGGGGGCCAAUGUCGGCAUGGCGUCGUUCGCGGCCGCCGUGAUGGGGUUCCGGGUGGUGGCGUUCGAGCCCGUGUUCGAGAACCUGCAGCGGAUUUGCGACGGGGUGUACCUCAACCGGGUGCGGGACCGCGUUGUGGUGUAUCACGCGGCGGCUUCAGAUCGGGUUGGGAACAUUACUAUGCAUAAGGUGAUUGGCCGACUUGACAACAGUGCUAUUUCUGCAACUGGUGCAAAGUUAGCGUUUAAGUCUAAUGAGGAAAUUGCUGUUGUGGUUUCCACAAUCCCAUUGGAUGAAGUCAUUCCAGAUACCGAGCGAGUUCUUAUGAUCAAAAUUGAUGUUCAAGGUUGGGAAUACCAUGUACUCAGAGGUGCAUCAAAAUUGCUUUCGAGGACAAAAGGUGAAGCUCCCUACCUUAUAUAUGAAGAAGAUGAACGCCUGCUGCAGGCAAGCAACACAAGCUCACAGGAGAUAAGGGCAUUUCUGUCUAGUGUUGGUUACAAUCAUUGUACACAGCAUGGCACUGAUGCUCACUGUACAAAAGAAUAGACAAAUUGGUUUCUGAGUGGUGCUCUGAUGCUCCUAAGCUCAAGUUGAUCAGACCAGGGGUUUAGAAAUUUCAUGUGUCCAAUAGUUGGGUUGCCUUAAGUUCCAUGGUACUCUUUGUUUUUUUAACCUUUUAGGUUAGUUUGUUAAUUGCUGAGUCUUGGUAUAAUAGAAAUUUUAGCCAUGAUUAUGUAGCUUAUUUCAUUAAACUUACACUCCUUGUAGAAAUAUAUGUGGUCACAUUGAACAUCAUGAAUCAUAGCGGAUGUUUCCAGAUUCUAGUGCAUUUUUUUUGGAUUAUGACAUUGGAAUUUGUGCUACUUACUGGAUAUCAUUAAUAUAGAUGUUUCAGUUAUCCAGUGUCUUAAGAAGCAUCUAGGAAUUUUGUCUAAAAUUGAAUAGCCAAACUAAUUUAUAUUAACUCACUGUUUGGCUUACCACACAUAUUUCCUUUUAGUUUUCAUAGGUUACCCAAGUAACUUGAUCAUUUUGAAUUAGAUUUGACAUUAAUUUUACCUUGAAUGCCAAGAUCUGACAAGCUGCAUUUUUUUUCCUGAGAGGGCAGAAUGAAUGAAUGGUAAAAAAAAUAACAGUUGCACUUUCCUGAGUUCAGAAGUAUUAUGAUAGUUCACAUAUUAGUACUUCUACUGAAGCUCUAAGCUAAACUAAUCUUUUUUACUUUUAGAUGUAUUUGGUACACUAAAUUCCUUUCCUAAAAUCAAAGUAGCAUCAACAUGGCAAUAUCUAUCGAUAUUGGAUUCUAAGUUUGUGAUCGAGAAAAUAUACUAUUUUCCUAUUUGCAAUUUCUGCUGCAGAAUUUCACCAUCUAUUUCGACCCAAGGGAUAUGUGCAAUCUUCGGCCAGUCAACGCCAUUUUCUUUUUUCAGUUUCUCCUUGAGCAGUGGGUGACAGAGUGCAACUUCAAUCUUCCUAAUGGAUAGCGGCAGCGGUUCCUCUGGCAGUGAUUCCAAUGCAGGGCAGUUCCACAAGACCAACUUAUACAGAGACUUCAUUCUGGACAGGGUUGAAGGGAGUGAUCGCAAUGUAUUACAACCACUGAUACAUAAGCUUUGGAGUGACUUUAGCUGUAGGAGAAUAUCGUUAUCAUCUGUGCUGAAGGAGGUGAUUUCUGAGCAAUCUUGGAUAUCUAGGCUCUCAAUGAGCUCAAGCCUUUCUCUCAGAAGAGGACACUUGAGUAUUGUUAUCUGAUCAGUGAUAAUGCUUCUAAGUAAGCCAAAGCUUGCAUUGAUUUCAAUGGUCAUUGGUGAGGAUAAUCUUGCAAGUAACAACGGACAGUUGAAUAUGCAAAGAGAUGAGACACUGGAUCUAGCAGUGGUUGCAGGUGCCAACUUUACAUCAUGGUGGUAUGGCAUCCAGUACCCCUUCCUUGCCGUUGUUAUCUCCGUAAGGUUAGGAGGUAUUGGAGGCAGUGCUUUGAGCCUACUGCAAUCCUUAAUCACAACAUUGCGUAGAUUCCUCAUUGACGGCCACUCCACAACCACUCAUUGAGUUCUGGCAUGUCAUCAAGCACCAGCUCUUCCAGCAAAUGGAAUGGCCCCUGUUGGCUGCCACUGCCAUAUGCCUCUGGGCCUAUCUGCCUCAGCAUUUUCAAACGCUGCAACCGGAUUGUUUUGAUGGAGGGAAGUUGACCAAGUGGUGGAAGCUGCUCCCAUGCAUUGCAGCCACUUAGGAAAAUAUGCUUAAGAUUACUUAGCCAUUCAUUCUCAAGCCAACUAGGGGAUUUGACUCCCAUCCAACCCAUGAUGUCUAAUCUCUUUAGAUUUUCGUGUGGUUGGAGAGCUUCUAGCACAUCCUCUUCCUUGUUUGUAUUUACCUCAUCUAGAUCAGGGGCCCACAUUAGCUGCAGCACUGAUAGUUGGCUUUUCUUACAGAGCAUGGCUUCCUUUGCCUCAUCAGGAGUAUUGAUAUUCUCAAGGUUUCUGAUCUGGAGGGAUCCUUGGAGCUCUAAUAGAUACCCAAGCUGAACUAUGCUUUGUGUUUGCUCUCUGGUAACCUUAAAAAUGGGCAACCUCUGAAGGCAUUUCAACCUGCCAAUGUUUGUUAUGGAGGAAACAAUUUGAUUAGCUGCUGUGAGAUGUCGUAGAUUAACCAAGUUGUUCAUUCUGGAAGGCAAUUUUCCAAGUUUGCUGCAACCUGCUAAAUUCAGAACCUGUAGGUGGUAGAGUUUGCACAAGAAUUCUGGUAGUGUGGUGAUCAUAGUUGAUGAGAUAUUUAGGUACCGGAGAUGCACACAUUGCCGUAUGCUAUCAGGAAGUUUGUCUAUCAUGCACGGUGACAAAUCCAACACUCGGAGGCUUCUUAGAUUAUUGAGAACCACUUGAGGGAUGGAAGCUUUGAUUGGAGCCACUGUUCUGCUACUGAGGAAAAUUAGAGUGCGCAGAUUCUUGUAUGAUAUUGUAUCAUCAAGUGCUGAAAGGCUAUCUAGAUGCACUGACAGAUGGCGUACUGAUGAUGGGAUUCUUAUCCAUUCAUCAUCUCCUAUUCUGAAGCAUUCUUCUGUUGCAACUGAUUUUGCAAGCUUAUAAAUUACAGGAGGUGUCUAGCUGCAACCUUUGCAGCAAGAGGAAGACCACUGAGUGUCUCAGCAAUUUUCCUUCCGAUGUGCUCCAAUUGUGAAUUGAUGUUGUGGCUUGUCUCAUCAAACAUAGAAGACUUCAUCAGGGACCAGCAGUCAUUAACUAGCAAGGCCUCCAAACUAAUUAUAUAGGACGAUUGCAGCAUCUCAGCCACCAUACUUGACCGAGUUGUCAGAAGCAUCUUGCUCCCCUUCGCUCCAUCCUUUAGGGGGGCUAGCAGCUUCUGCCAGUUCUCUUCUUCCAUUGCUAUUGUAGUGCUGUCACUGUUCCAAACAUCAUCUAGGACAAGGAGGAACCGUUUUGAAGCAAGCCUUGCCUUGAGCGCCACUUGAAGUCUAUUGAAACUUAUUGUGCCAUCAUGCCUAACCGACUGCUGGAAGCUGACUCCAGCAUUUCUUUUGUGAUCCUCAACUCGUCAAAGAGAUGAGUAACAGAGAUCCACAUUCUCACAUUAAAGUUCUCAGUUAUUCUAUUGUCAUUGUACACAUGCUGUGCUAAAGCAGUCUUGCCUAUGCCACCUACCCCAACAAUAGAGACAACAGACACUGGAUUCUCAUCCUGAGAGCUUGUUAGAGUGGUUACCAACUGUUGGGCUUUGAAGUCGCGUUCAAUGAUUUUCCCAAGGACUAUUGAGCUAGUCAUGAUGUUGCGAUUGUUGCUCCUGAUGUUCCUGGGUAGGCUGAGGGCUUCACUGACUCCACUUGCAACCUGCUCAAUACGCUCCAAUAGCUCUACCAUCUUAUUCUUUACCUGGGUUGAUCUAUCCCAACGCUCCAAUAGCUCCGGACUAGAAGCUGGGGCACCUUGGUCACGAAACCGGGAAUGCAUGAAGGCUCUGAUUGGGCUACUGCUGCUCUCGUUUGCACUGGAUUCUUCCAUUUCAUGAUGGAGGCGGUUGUACUCAAGCUUGUCUAGGAGAUCCUCUGCAUGAUAUAUGACAUCUCGGAGUUCCUGCAUCCAUGGAAGAGAGCUGUGGGAGAGUGUGGGCGCCACCUCAGUUACAUGGAGAACUGACUGUGUGCGAAGCAAAGCAACACGAAGCCUGUCUAGCUCAUGGUCGAUGCCACAGUUGGCUGCCCACCUCUGGAGCUUGUAGGAAAGAUACUUAUCGAAGAUAACCUGGAUGAACCAGCCACCUACAGCCAGGUAGCUGGAGAUGUCCAUACUGGACAAAUUCUUACAAGAGGUCGCUGCGGUUCAGACAUUAUGUUGUAUCCAAAUGGAAGAGGAAGACAUAUAUCAGAGAAAUUAGAAGGAAUUCUGGUGUGGAGACUACAAAGAUGUUUUGGUCGAUUUUCUUCACUGGUGGAAAUAUCAGCUUCCUUCAAGUUCCAAUUGUCUUUGGGCCGGUUCUGCUGCUAUUAGUUGGGCCCUUUGGAACAUGUUGAGCCUAUAGACCCUGCUGCUGCGUACAAAAGUGAAAAAAAAACUUGUGCUUUUCUGACAUAGUAGUAGGCAGGUUUGUUCUACACUACUACGCUUCCAGGACCAGGAGAACACAUGGAGGAAGCCAAACAAAUAAAGAAAAUAUAUUGCCAAGUGAUGCAGAAUGUCCCUUGAGGAGGGAUGGUACUAUUUAAAUAUCCCUGAUGCUAUGCAAGACUUAUGGACUUGAUUGACAGGACUAAUUCAGUAAAAGACAUGAACGUGAA